UGUGUAUGUGUGUGUCUCUGUAUGUAUGUGUGGGUCUCUGUAUGUAUGUGUCUGUAUCAUACCGACAUACAUACAGAGACACACAUACAUACAGAGCCACAUACACACACA